rnacentral:rRNA from 1 species
UACGUAGGGUGCGAGCGUUGUUCGGAAUUACUGGGCGUAAAGCGCUCGUAGGUGGUUUGUCGCGUUGUCCGUGAAAACUCACAACUCAAUUGUGGGCGUGCGGGCGAUACGGGCAGACUGGAGUACUGCAGGGGAGACUGGAAUUCCUGGUGUAGCGGUGGAAUGCGCAGAUAUCAGGAGGAACACCGGUGGCGAAGGCGGGUCUCUGGGCAGUAACUGACGCUGAGGAGCGAAAGCGUGGGGAGCGAACAGG